GACGAACGCUGGCGGCGUGCUUAACACAUGCAAGUCGAACGGAAAGGCCUGCUUUCCCUUGUGGCCUGCGGGUACUCGAGUGGCGAACGGGUGAGUAACACGUGAGUGAUCUUCCCCCAACUUGGGUAUAAGCCUGGGAAACUGGGUCUAAUUCCCGACAGGACUGCAGGGUGGUGCCUGUGGUUGAAAACGAUUUUCUAGUGGUUGGGGAUGAGCGCGCGGCCUAUCAGCUUGUUGGUGGGGGAAUGGCCUACCAAGGCGGCGACGGGUAGCCGGCCUGGGGGGGUGGGCCGGCGAGUUGGGACUGCGAUACGGCCACGGAGAGACCGGGCGGCAGCAGUGGGGAGUAAUGAGCGAUGAGCGGUAGCCUGAGGCAGCGACGCCGCGGGGGCAAUGCCGGGUUUCGGGUGGUAAACUCCUUUCGAUCGCGAGGUAGCCACCGGGUUGGAAGGGUGGUGACGGUAGUGGGAAAAGAAGCACCGGCUAACUACGUG
rnacentral:rRNA from 1 species